rnacentral:rRNA from 1 species
UACGUAGGGUGCGAGCGUUGUCCGGAAUUAUUGGGCGUAAAGGGCUCGUAGGCGGUCUGUCGCGUCGGGAGUGAAAACACGGGGCUUAACCCCGUGCCUGCUUCCGAUACGGGCAGACUAGAGGUAUGCAGGGGAGAACGGAAUUCCUGGUGUAGCGGUGAAAUGCGCAGAUAUCAGGAGGAACACCGGUGGCGAAGGCGGUUCUCUGGGACGUGACUGACGCUGAGACGCGAAAGCGUGGGGAGCAAACAGG